rnacentral:rRNA from 1 species
UACAGAGGUCUCAAGCGUUGUUCGGAUUCAUUGGGCGUAAAGGGUGCGUAGGUGGCGCCAUAAGUCGGGUGUGAAAUCUCGGGGCUUAACUCCGAAACUGCAUUCGAUACUGUGGUGCUUGAGGACUGGAGAGGAGACUGGAAUUCAUGGUGUAGCAGUGAAAUGCGUAGAGAUCAUGAGGAAGACCAGUGGCGAAGGCGGGUCUCUGGACAGUUCCUGACACUGAGGCACGAAGGCGUGGGGAUCAAACAGG